rnacentral:rRNA from 1 species
UACGUAGGGGGCAAGCGUUGUCCGGAAUCAUUGGGCGUAAAGCGCGUGUAGGCGGUCCGGUAAGUCCGCUGUGAAAGUCCAGGGCUCAACCCUGGGAUGCCGGUGGAUACUGUCGGGCUAGAGUACGGAAGAGGCGAGUGGAAUUCCCGGUGUAGCGGUGAAAUGCGUAGAGAUCGGGAGGAACACCAGUGGCGAAGGCGGCCGGCUGGGCAGUGGCUGACGCUGAGGCGCGACAGCGUGGGGAGCAAACAGG